rnacentral:rRNA from 1 species
GCAAGUCGAACGAGACCUUCGGGUCUAGUGGCGCACGGGUGCGUAACGCGAGGGAACCUGCCCAAAGGUGCGGAAUAACUCAGGGAAACGUGAGCUAAUACCGCAUUAUGCCGAAGGCCAAAGAUUUAUCGCCUUUGGAUGGGCCCGCGUCGGAUUAGCUUGUUGGUGGGGUAAUGGCCCACCAAGGCGACGAUCCGUAGCUGGUUUGAGAGGAUGAUC